GAUGAAGAACGCAGCGAAAUGCGAUACGUAAUGUGAAUUGCAGAAUUCAGUGAAUCAUCGAGUCUUUGAACGCACAUUGCGCCCCCUGGAAUUCCGGGGGGCAUGCCUGUCCGAGCGUCAUUGCUGCCCUCAAGCACGGCUUGUGUGUUGGGCCUCCGUCCUCCUCCCGGGGGACGGGCCCGAAAGGCAGCGGCGGCACCGCGUCCGGUCCUCGAGCGUAUGGGGCUUCGUCACCCGCUCUUGUAGGCCCGGCCGGCGCUUGCCGACACAUCAAUCUUUUUUCCAGGUUGACCUCGGAUCAGGUAGGGAUACCCGCUGAACUUAAGCAUAUCAAUAAGCGGAGGA
rnacentral:misc_RNA from 1 species